GUGUAAUCUCUAGAAGUGUUUUCCGCGUUGGACCGCACACAAGUCUGUUGGAAUACAGCGGCAUAGUGGUGAAACCCCCGUAUAUGGUGCGGACGCCCAGCGCUUUGUGAUACACUUUCAAUGAGUCGAGUUGUUUGGGAAUGCAGCUCAAAUUGGGUGGUAAAUUCCAUCUAAAGCUAAAUAUUGGCGAGAGACCGAUAGCGAACAAGUACCGUGAGGGAAAGAUGAAAAGCACUUUGGAAAGAGAGUUAACAGUACGUGAAAUUGUUGGAAGGGAAACGCUUGAAGUCAGACUUGCUUGCCGGAGCUUGCUUCGGUUUGCAGGCCAGCAUCAGUUUUCCGGGGUGGAUAAUGACGGUUUGAAGGUAGCAGUCUCGGCUGUGUUAUAGCUUUCCGUUGGAUACGCCCUGGGGGACUGAGGAACGCAGCGUGCUUUUUGCGAAAGACUCGUCUUUUUCACGCUUAGGAUGCUGGUGGAAUGGCUUUAAACGACCCGUCUUGAAACACGGACCAAGGAGUCUAACAUGCUCGCGAGUAUUUGGGUGUCAAACCCGGAUGCGCAAUGAAAGUGAAUGUAGGUGGGAACCGCAAGGUGCACCAUCGACCGAUCUGGAUUUUUUAAGAUGGAUUUGAGUAAGAGCGCGUAUGUUGGGACCCGAAAGAUGGUGAACUAUGCCUGAAUAGGGCGAAGCCAGAGGAAACUCUGGUGGAGGCUCGUAGCGGUUCUGACGUGCAAAUCGAUCGUCAAAUUUGGGUAUAGGGGCGAAAGACUAAUCGAACCAUCUAGUAGCUGGUUCCUGCCGAAGUUUCCCUCAGGAUAGCAGAAACUCACAUCAGUUCUAUGAGGUAAAGCGAAUGAUUAGAGGCCUUGGGGUUGAAACAACCUUAACCUAUUCUCAAACUUUAAAUAUGUAGGAAGUCCUUGCUACUUAAUUGAGCGAGGACAUG
rnacentral:rRNA from 1 species